GAUGAACGCUAGCUACAGGCUUAACACAUGCAAGUCGAGGGACCGGCGCACGGGUGAGUAACACGUAUACAACCUGCCCUUUACUCGGAGAUAGCGUUUCGAAAGAAAGAUUAAUACUCGAUAUAAAGGAUGGGGAUGCGUUCCAUUAGGUUGUUGGUGAGGUAACGGCUCACCAAGCCUUCGCGGGAUAGGGGUUCUGAGAGGAAGGUCCCCCACAGUGGAACUGAGACACGGUCCAAACUCCGACGGGAGGCAGCAGGGAGGAAUAUUGGUCAAUGGGCGCUAGCCUGAACCAGCCAAGUAGCGUGAAGGAUGAAGGCUUAUGGGUCGUAAACUUCUUUUAUAUAAGAAUCGGUAUUAUAUGAAUAAGGAUCGGCUAACUCCGUGCCAGCAGCCGCGGUAAUAC
rnacentral:rRNA from 1 species